AGAGUUUGAUCCUGGCUCAGAACGAACGCUGGCGGCAGGCCUAACACAUGCAAGUCGAACGGGAUCUUCGGAUCUAGUGGCGGACGGGCGAGUAACGCGUGGGAACGUGCCCUUUGGUUCGGAAUAGCCCUGGGAAACUGGGAGUAAUACCGUAUGUGGUCGAGAGACGAAAGAUUUAUCGCCAAAGGAUCGGCCCGCGUUGGAUUAGGUAGUUGGUGGGGUAAUGGCCUACCAAGCCGACGAUCCAUAGCUGGUUUGAGAGGAUGAUCAGCCACACUGGGACUGAGACACGGCCCAGACUCCUACGGGAGGCAGCAGUGGGGAAUCUUAGACAAUGGGGGAAACCCUGAUCUAGCCAUGCCGCGUGAGCGAUGAAGGCCUUAGGGUUGUAAAGCUCUUUCGUGGGGGAAGAUAAUGACUGUACCCCAAGAAGAAGCCCCGGCUAACUCCGUGCCAGCAGCCGCGGUAAU
rnacentral:rRNA from 1 species